ensembl:lncRNA MIR9-1HG MIR9-1 host gene
GUGAAAGGAUGAAUGAAAAGUCCGGAGCCGGAGCGCGCCGGGGCCAGAGCCGCGGCAGAGGCAGAGGAGGGAGCUAGGAGGUGAGACCCGCUCCACCCUGCUCGCCUAGGCUCGGCGGAGGCUAAGAGCAGGGCAGCCUCCUCUGCCCGGCGCCCGCUGAGCCCCGGCAUCUGGAACUCAGGGCCCUGGCGCUCCAGGGGCGGGAACUGGCCGGGAGGACCGCGCGGGAGAGCACGGAUGGGCACCCUGGGCUCGAUCUUCUCACCUGGGGCGGGUGGGUUCUGCACCACCCUCCCACCCUCCUUCCUCCGUGUGGACGAUAGAGCCACAUCCAGCACCACGGACAGCUCCCGGGCGACCAAAAAGAAGAAUGUACUUCAUCUGGUUGGGCUGGAUUCCCUCUGAUAAGCCUUCCCAGUUGACUGAAAGAUGAGGCUAGGCUCUAGCAAGUUGAAGUCAAACCAGCUCCUUCAAGAAGCUUUGAGCAGAAUGAAGUGGGGAGGACCCAGCUUCCAGCCCAGGAAGCCCACUGUACCUGGAGCCAUCUGGGAUAAGACUUUGACCCAUGACUCCCAUAUCCACAGCCUGUCCAUCCUAGCCCAUCCCAGUUUAUCCUGUAUCAUUUGAGCUGGGAUUCCCACAUCCUCUGAGUUGGAAGUCCCAUCUCAAGUCUUCAAUAAAGACUCUUGAAUAUUGAAUCACAUUAA